rnacentral:rRNA from 1 species
GACAGAGGUGCCGAGCGUUAGGCGGAAUCACUGGGCUUAAAGCGUGUGUAGGCGGGCGAUCAAGUACCUUGUGAAAUCCCACGGCUCAACCGUGGAACCGCUGGGUAUACUGGUUGUCUUGAGCCGGCUAGGGGCGAGCGGAACAGACGGUGGAGCGGUGAAAUGCGUAGAUAUCGUCUGGAACGCCGAAGGUGAAAACAGCUCGCUGGGGCCGCGCUGACGCUGAGACACGAAAGCCGGGGGAGCGAACGGG